UUUAACAAAAAUCCCUAUUUAAAACAUUGCGUUGCGGCUAUUUAUUCAACUUCGAGUCCCGUGUUCUAUAUACAUACGCGCCCACGCGCCUAAUUGCCAACCAUGUGAGGCAGCCGGUAGCCGCUUGCGCACAUCCAUUUCCAAUUGGUGACUGUGCGCAUUUUGUGUUUAUCCAAGGAUCCUGCGUUCCAUUGUGUGCACACAAUGAUUUGUAUUGUCUGUUGUUUGCCUGCGAUCUCAACUCUUUUACAUGGGCGCGUGGCCGGCUUGCGAGCCUGUCGCCCGUCUGCCAGUUCUCUAGUUGUCGUCGUACCCCCCUUCCCCCUGCCCAGCCCCUUAUCGUGUGUCUAGUCUGUGAAUAUUUUUAUAAGCAUUUUCUCAUGUGUGUUUCCUGUUUGUGUGUUUUAAUGUGUCCUCAAAACUGUUCACGGAGCCUACAAAGUGUGUAUUGAGAAUAUAUAUAUAUAUAUAUAGUCCAUCUGUCCAUCUUGGAUAUUUGUCAUUGGAACGGGCGAGCGAAAAAAGGGUUGGACAAACUUGCCUUCUGUUCUUCGAGAUAACUUCAGCAAAGUCUGCCAAUGCGAUCUGAAGUCCAUUCAAUUUUUGGCCUAGCAAAAAACGCAUUCGUUUUUCUGCUUGUUUUAAUUAAAAUUCACAACAAAAUCCGCAUAACAUGAGGCCCACCCUCAACAAUAGGAAUUUGCAUGACAUGCACACAAUAAGGAAAAAACAACACAAGAAAAAAAAAUUAUGAGAAAAGGACACACACACACACACAGGUGCGUUCGGAUCGCGGCAGACAAUGCACGGAGCUGUGAUUGGCAUAGUUCUUGCUGUGCGCCUGCUCCCAUUGUAAGCGAUUGUCCAGCGUUAUGGUAAUUAUUACCUGUGUGUACGUGUGUGUGUGUGUGUGUGGCAUUUAAUUAAAAAUUGUUGUCGUUUGCGAUUUUGGCUGCAGUACAGUCGAGUCCAGUCGGGAGUCCAGCUGAACAGAAAUCUGAGCAUCAGACAGUCAACCCCCGUGCAUGGCUAAAGGUUCUCAAUGCUUAAAAGGCUUGAGAACUGCAGUUGCCGCUGACCCACAGCCGCGUCAUUUGGCUGCAAUUAUUUGUGAAAAUAACCUUAUAUAUGGAUGAUAUAUGGAUGGAUAUGGAUGGAUAUAUGGAUGUGCGCAGCAUAACAAUUAUUUUGCGAUUUUCACAGAGAUUAGCCACAACAAAAGGCGAAUGGCCAUUGUUGCUUGGGCAUUUGGAACUGGCCAACUGUUUCUGACCCUUUUGUCAUGUUGUGUCCGUUCUCUCGUUUGUGUCAAAUGUUUUUAGCCGCUCGCUGCGGCUGCGCUCACACAUGCGGCAGCAGCUACCAUAUACAAUUUAUAUACCAAUAUAUGUACACAUAUUUAAUUGGUACAGUUGUGUCCACUUGCAUUG